CCUACGGGAGGCAGCAGUGGGGAAUUUUGGACAAUGGGGGCAACCCUGAUCCAGCCAUGCCGCGUGAGUGAAGAAGGCCUUCGGGUUGUAAAGCUCUUUCGGCCGGAACGAAAUCGCGCACGUGAAUAACGUGCGUGGAUGACGGUACCGGAGUAAGAAGCACCGGCUAACUACGUGCCAGCAGCCGCGGUAAUACGUAGGGUGCGAGCGUUAAUCGGAAUUACUGGGCGUAAAGCGUGCGCAGGCGGUUCGCUAAGUCAGACGUGAAAGCCCCGGGCUUAACCUGGGAACGGCGUUUGAAACUGGCGGGCUCGAGUACGGCAGAGGGGGGUGGAAUUCCACGUGUAGCAGUGAAAUGCGUAGAUAUGUGGAGGAACACCGAUGGCGAAGGCAGCCCCCUGGGCCGAUACUGACGCUCAUGCACGAAAGCGUGGGGAGCAAACAGGAUUAGAUACCCUGGUAGUCCACGCCCUAAACUAUGUCAACUAGUUGUCGGGGAAGCAAUUCCUUGGUAACGCAGCUAACGCGUGAAGUUGACCGCCUGGGGAUACGGUCGCAAGAUUAAAACUCAAAAUGAAUUGACGGCUGGAGAGUGCGACGGACGACGACGAGGGAGGAGG
rnacentral:rRNA from 1 species